GACAGAGGGUGCAAACGUUGUUCGGAAUUACUGGGCGUAAAGCGCGUGUAGGCGGCUCGGAAAGUCGGAUGUGAAAGCCCAGGGCUCAACCCUGGAAGUGCACUCGAAACUCCCGAGCUCGAGUCCCGGAGAGGAAGGCGGAAUUCCCGGUGUAGUGGUGAAAUGCGUAGAUAUCGGGAGGAACACCAGUGGCGAAGGCGACUACCUGGCCUGUUCUUGACGCUGAGGCGCGAAAGCUAGGGGAGCAAACGGG
rnacentral:rRNA from 1 species